rnacentral:rRNA from 1 species
UACGGAGGGUGCGAGCGUUGUCCGGAAUCAUUGGGCGUAAAGGGCGCGUAGGCGGCGAGGAAAGUCAGAUGUGAAAUCCGAGGGCUCAACCCUCGAAUAGCAUCCGAUACUUCCCUGCUCGAGAUUUGUAGAGGAGUCUGGAACUCUCGGUGUAGCAGUGAAAUGCGUGGAUAUCGAGAAGAACGCUCGUAGCGAAGGCGAGGCUCUGGGCAAAAUUCUGACGCUGAGGCACGAAGGCUAGGGGAGCAAACGGG